rnacentral:lncRNA from 1 species
GCUGUCCGCGGGCACCCAGUGGCACCAAGGGCCACCGCCACCCGGCCGUGACAGCCGAGCCUCCUCCCCGCGGCCCUGCACGCCCCGAAGCCCAGAGCGCAGUGCUGUGGCAGCAUGGAUCAGCCGGGCCCGCCGGCUCCCGCCCGGGAAGAGAAUGAAGUCAAGUAUGACACUAAUAACAACGAGGAGGAGGGGGAACAGCUCGAUCUGGACAGCGGAGACGAAGCUCCAGAGGCCGACAGGCAGGCUCCAGACUCCGCAGAGGCAGGGGACGCGGGGGCAGAGGCUCCUGCCGCCGCCGCCGCCGCUGCCGCCGCCGCUGCCGCCGUGGGACCCUGUGCAUCCUCCAGCCACCACCCAGGGACCAGCCAGCCUACCUGCGGGUUGGAUCGUCCGGGGGAAGGAUAUGAAAAAGGACCAGGAGUGGAACCACUGAAACCCGGGGUCCUGUCGAGAGUCAACCCCUAUUCUGUCAUCGACAUCACGCCCCUCCAGGAAGACCAGCCGCCAGCCCCAGACCCGGACGCCGAGGGGGAGGGUGGGGGCCUGCAUGUGCCCAGCGGGUACUCGGUGCCAGUGCCCUGCGGCUAUGCCGUGCCCUCCAGCCUGCCGCUGCUGCUGCCGGCCUACACCAGUCCCGUGCUGCCCGCCCCGCCCGCCGACCCUGCAGAGACUCAGGAGGCGGCAGAAGACAGCCAGCUGAAUUCCUUGAGUUCUGAGGAUCCAGCAAACAGUGAGGAUCCAGACCAGAAGGAGGACAGCACCCUGGCCCGCUGGGUCGCGGAUCCGGCCAACACAGCCUGGAUGGAGAAUCCGGAGGAAGCCAUUUACGACGAUGUGCCAAGAGAAAAUUCAGACUCUGAGCCAGAUGAAAUGAUUUAUGACGACGUGGAGAACGGAGAUGAAGGCGGCCACAGCUCUCUGGAGUACGGGUGGAGCUCCAGCGAGUUCGAGAGCUACGAGGAGCAGAGCGACUCGGAGAGCAGGAGCGGGGUCCCCCGCUCCUUCCUGCGCGGCGACCACAGGAAGCAGAUGCAGAAACUGGUGAGGGCUGCAAGAGAGGGCACCAAGGACGGGCUGGAGAGGACAAAGGCUGCCGUGAAGCGGGGACGCUCGUUUAUCAGGACCAAAUCCUUCGUCUCUUCAGACCACAGAUCCUGUCUUGAAGAGGAGCAGAACGUGUUCAUCGACGUGGACUGCAGGCACCCCGAAGCCAUCCUCACCCCGAUGCCCGAAGGCUUGUCUCAGCAGCAGGUCGUAAGAAGGUACAUUCUGGGCUCGAUCGUAGAAAGCGAGAAAAACUACGUGGAUGCUCUGAAGAGGAUAUUGGAGCAAUAUGAGAAGCCGCUGUGGGAGAUGGAGCCCAAGGUGCUGAGCGAGAGGAAGCUGAGGACCGUCUUCUUCCGGGUCAAGGAGGUGCUGCAGUGCCACUGCCUGCUCCAGAUCGCGCUGGCCGGCCGCGUGGCUGAGUGGGACUCGGUGGAGAUGAUCGGAGACGUCUUCGUGGCCUCGUUUUCCAAAUCCAUGGUGCUGGAUGCUUAUAGUGAAUAUGUGAAUAAUUUCAGCACAGCUGUGGCAAUCCUUAAGAAAACGUGUGCUACAAAACCUGCUUUCCUUGAAUUUUUAAAGCAGUGUCAGGAGUCCAGCCCUGACCGCGUCACACUGCACAGCCUGAUGACGAAGCCCAUCCAGAGGUUCCCGCAGUUCAUCCUGCUGCUCCAGGACAUGCUGAAGAACACGCCCCGGGGACACCCUGACCGGCUGCCCCUCCAGAUGGCGCUGACGGAGCUCGAGACGCUAGCAGAGAAGCUGAACGAGAGGAAGAGAGACGCCGACCAGCGCUGUGAAAUCAAGCAGAUAGCAAAAGCCAUCAACGAGCGGUACCUGAACAAGCUUCUCAGCAGCGGCAGUCGCUACCUCAUCCGCUCUGACGACGUGAUAGAGACCGUCUACAAUGACCGGGGGGAGAUCAUGAAAACCAAGGAGCGCCGGCUCUUCAUGCUGAACGACGUGCUCAUGUGCGCCACGGUCAGCGCCCGCGCUUCCCACGACAGCAGUGCGGUGACGUCGGGCCAGAGGUACCUGCUGAAGUGGAGCGUCCCGCUCGGGCAGGUGGAGGUGGUCGAGUACGGCGGCGGCGAGGGCACGGCAGAGGGCGGCCGCUGUCCCGCGGGCCCUGCGCCCGAGAACCUGCUGGCACCCGGUGCCAAGUCCCACCGAGUCUACGUGGGGCCGGGGCAGCUGUAUCAAGACCUCCAAAACUUGCUGCAUGACCUCAGCGUCAUCGGCCACAUCACUCAGCUGGUCGGAAACCUCAAAGGAAACUAUCAGAACCUGAACCCGUCGGUGGCCCAGGACUGGAUGUCCGGCUUACAGAGGCUGAUUCUGAAGAAGGAAGAGGAGAUCCGAGCGGCCGACUGCUGCCGGGUGCAGCUGCAGCUCCCGGGGAAGCAGGACAAGUCCGGCCGGCCGACUUUCUUCACCGCCGUGUUCAACACCUUCACUCCCGCCAUCAAGGAGUCCUGGAUCAACAGCCUGCAGAUGGCCAAGCUCGCCCUGGAGGAGGAGAACCACCUGGGCUGGUUUUGCGUGGAGGAUGACGGGAACCAGAUCAGGAAGGAGAGACACCCGCUCCUUCUGGGACACAUGCCUGUGACGGUGGCCAAGCAGCAGGAGUUCAAGAUUGAAUGUGCUGUUUAUAAUCCUGAGCCGUACCUGAAUAAUGAGAAUCAGUCAGACUCGUUUUCCGUGGCUCACGGUUUCCUGUGGAUCGGGAGCUGCACCAGUCAGAUGGGGCAGAUCGCCAUCGUCUCCUUCCACAACUCCAGCCCCAAGGUCAUCGAGUGCUUCAACGUGGAGUCCCGCGUGCUGUGCAUGGUAUAUGUGCCCGCCGAGGACAGGCCCCGCGAGCCCGAGGGCGGGGGCCGGGUGCUGGGCGUGCCCGCUGUCUGCCUGGGGACGGAGGAGGGCAGCAUUUCCAUCUACAAGAGCAGCCAAGGCUGCAAGAAGCUGCGGCUGCAGCACUUCUUCACCCCGGAGAAGUCCACGGUCACGAGCCUGGCCUGCACGGCCCAGAGCCUGUACGUCGGCCUGGUCAACGGCACCGUGGCCAUCUACGCCAGAGCGAACGAUGGAUCCUGGAAUUCCGAGCCUCAAACGGUGAUUAAGUUAGGCGUCCUCCCAGUUCGAAGUCUGCUCUUGAUGGAAGACACGCUCUGGGCGGCGUCUGGAGGUCAAGUUUCCAUCAUCGGUGUGGAGACUCUCGCCGUGGAGGGCCAGCUGGAGGCCCACCAGGAGGAGGGCAUGGUGGUCUCACACAUGGCCAUCGCCGGCGUGGGCAUCUGGGUCGCCUUCACCUCGGGGUCCACGCUCCGCUUGUUCCACACGGAGACACUCAAGCACCUGCAGGACGUCAACAUCGCCACCCCCGUCCACCACAUGCUGCCAGGGCACCAGCGGCUGUCUGUGACCAGCCUGCUCGUCUGCCACGGCCUGCUGAUGGUGGGCACCAGCCUGGGUGUCGUGGUGGCCCUGCCUGUCCCACGUCUGCAGGGAAUCCCCAAGGUGACUGGACGGGGCCUGGUCUCCCACCACGCGCACCACGGGCCUGUCAAGUUCCUGGUCAUGGCUGCAGCCGCCCUCAAGGCCGACAAGGACAGGCCCAGGGACAGCCCGCCACCCGGCGCUGACCCCCAGGACGAUGAGCAGCGGGAUGCUCCCCUUGGCGAGGGGCCAGGGCUCUGCAUGGGCCGGGGCGGCCCCGACGCCGUCUGGCUGGGCACUUCGCCGGGCUCCGUCACCCAGGGCAGCGACGUCUCCUCCUCGUCCGGGUCCCCGACCCCUUCCCAGGGCUCCGGCUCCCUGGAGCCCCGGCCAGAGGAGAGCCUCGCCCAGGACCUCCUGCGCCUGCCCUGCACGUCCCCCAGCCGAGGCCGGCGGGCCCGGAGGCCCAGGGCCAGCUCCGUGCUGGUCGAGGGGGGAGGCCUUGCUGGCGGUGGACACAGGACACAGGCAGGGUGGCCCUCGGUCAGCACGGCCCUGGCACACAGGCUGCCUGCCUCGGUCACCAUGAGCGAGUGA